CUGAUCUGGGUCCCGGGCUUACUGUCUUCUGAGGAAAGCUGCAGGUGGGGGCGAGUCAGCCAUUUCUCAGAGGGCAACGUGGAUGGAAUGCAUUGUUUUGUCAGUGUUACAAAACAAAACAGCCUCCACCAGCUCUGAUUGAAAAAUUCGAAGUCUCUGGGGUCACAAAUGAGCCUUAACGACGCUCCCUGGGGUGGGGAGUGGAGGGCUUCUCCGAUCUGCCCCUUUGACCCGGGGCUUCGGCUUCAGCUCUGCCGCCUCAUUUCCCUCCCGCGCUGCCUGGAGGCUCGUCCUGCUGGCAGGAGGUCGGCUGCACACAGCUGCCUCUCGGGUUGUGGCCUCAGGGUCUGCCUCGUCCCUCAACACGCCUGGGGACGCCGAGGGAGCCCCUCACCCUUCUGGUGCUGCUCAGAAGAAACUACAGGCAAGAAGACUCCAGUAAAGGCAAGGCACAUAGUCAUGAAUAAAGGAAGACUUCAACAGUAACAGCAAAAUCAAAGUUAUGUGCCCUCAUGGUGGCUCCUUUUAGGCUGGUGUCCUCACUAAGAAAUCAGACUUCCCUUGGCUGUACAGCUCCUGGGACUUGCAUGAACACUUGGCUGUUUUGACUCCACUGCUCUUCAGCUGUCCCACUUCUACACUGUUUGUAGAGAAGUGUUGUACCCAAUUUACCUAGCUUGUAUUUUGUGGAUGGCUUUUAACUACAAGCACCUACAACACCAGCCUUUCUACUGCAGCAAUCACAAAUGGACAGAACUGGUGCAAGCCAAAUAUUGUAGCUUCGGAUGCUGAAUGUGGAAACUGAUAGAAACAAGGCUUUGCCAAGUGGUGAAACAUCCUCCCAGGCCAAUACCAGUCUCUUGUGACUGUGUUGUACCUCAGCCUGGACUGUUGACUUUCUGGGCUGGAGAAGCUGGAGGCUUGGUUUCCAGAAUGAAGAGCUGGUGCUGAGAGAUGGGUUCCAGAGAGAAAAGGCCGUCCAAAGAGAAUGUGAAGAUCCUGACUGAAGGAUGUAUCUGGGAAGUGAAGGAAGAUCCUGGAGGUGAGGUAAAUGCAUGGAGAGCAAGGAGAUGUCCAGUGCCAAAUAAUUGUGCCUGAGACCAGAAACUGCAAGCAACAUCAUAGCAGAAUCCAGCAGGAAUUUCUGCCCAACCUGCUCUAGCCAAUGGACCUGCCUGCAGGGAAGCCAAGACCUUGGGAACAUCAUGGGGAAGCUGUAACAGCCGUAGAGAAUAAGCACUGAAAAAAACAAACCCUGCUGAAGUUUUUUGCAGAGGUGGUAUUCUUUGUUUUCCCAAGGAUUCUGGGUGAAACUUAAAGCAAGCUAUGAGAUGAAGAAGGAAGCAGGGAGGGGGAAGUGCUGCUGUUAAUUUGGCAUUCAUUUUAAGGAGCUGAACGGCAGCCAGAAGUAGUGCAGAUGGCAUCUCAAUUCCCUCUUCUUUUGAAGAAAAUGUAUUUUUAAUACAGUAACUUUUUGUUUCCAUUAAGACAUUUUUAGCUGUGGAAUAAGGACAGUUAAAGGCAGUAGUUAAACCGCCAGCUUUUUGAUGACAUUUCUGAAAGCAGUUUAUUUCCCAGAGUGAUAGAUGUAUGAAACAUAUGGUUUCUUCAGAGCCACAACCAAGGAGCUGGGUAGUAAGGAUGCAGGGGGCUAGUUGGCAGAGACCCCUGGAAGGAAGCAAAAGGACACAAAUAUGGUGAUAUUGUGCUUUUGCAUAUGGGUGUGGUGGUGACAGGAGAAUUUGUCUGUAUUGAAUUGUAUCUUCUACUGUUCUGACAAAUCAGAACUCUAAGCUUUUCUAGAUAAACUGCAUCCCAGACACCUGCUCAGUUUUCUGACACCUGAUCAAAUGUCUAUCUGACUGCCAUUAGGACUGCAAAUCUGCAUCAGGUGAAAGCAUACCAUGCUUUAGGUGUGGUAUUUUAUAAAUAAUUGAUUCUUUCAGUAAGGGAAUUUUCCGAGAGUAGCUUUUUCAUGAAUCUAUUUGAGAAGCAUUCUCUUAGGUAAACUUCAAGACAAAGAUAAAAUUUGAACUAAAAUACACAUACCAAACAAGCUACUGUGUGCAUUUGGUUGUCAAUAAGGUAAAGCUCAUAUUUUGGCAAUUUAUUGCAUCUCUAAUGCGAAACUUCAGAUUUAGUAAAAUUUUGAAAGCAUUCCCAUGGGGAGUGAUUAGCACUGCCAUAGUAUAACUUGUGAUUGAUAGCAGUAUGAAUCAGGAAAUGCCUCUUAAAAGACUUUAUAAGAGAAGCUAUCUCUUGAAAUCAACAGUUAGUGUUUUGUUAUUAUUUGUGUAUCUCCACAACUAAAGAAUCUAAAGCUUGAUUUUUACAGAAAACCAUUCAAUUGAUAUUGGAGCCGUUGCUUCUACUUCCUUUUGAGAGACAAAAUUCUGAGAUUUUACCAUUAAAUAAGUGAAAGAAUGACUAAAAGGACAUGACAACUGGAAACGUUAGUUAUUCAAACAUUUUAUUCCCAGAACUAUUAAAUAAAUAAUUAGAUAAAUAAAUGAAAGUAUCUGAUAAUGCAGAAGGUUUAUUACUCAAACAUCUUUUCAGAACUAUCUGUUGAUGAGCUCUCAACUCAUGCACCUGUAACUGGUGCUGCUGUCCCCGCUGCCUGCAGUGGGUCCCACCUGGGGUGCCGGCCCAUCCCUGCAUGUGCCCGGUGAGAGCUGCAGGUGCCAUUGGGGCAGGACUGGGCUGCCCCUGCAUGGCUGCUGCAAGGGCUGAGGUGAGGAGGGCCUGAGGAGCUGCCGCUCUGCUGCCUGUGGGUGCCGGGGAAGCUCCUGCUGUGCUGGGCCAGUUGUAAAUUUGGGACUUGUGUGAGAUGGAGGAGCAGAAGUGGCAGCCGAGGUCUGGCUGCUGCUCAGUGACAGCAGGGAGGGGGCCAGAGGCUGGCACGUUUCCCUCUGUGCUGCUGCAGCAGGGCUGGCAGGGCUGGAGCAGCACUGGUUUGGAUGGUGGCUUUCUUAGGGCGCUUGAGUGGUGGGGCCCCAUGGGUGCCACUGUCUCUGUGCCUUCUUCCUUUGGUGCUGCCAGCAGGCUCCUGCAUUGCCCAGCAGCUGCUCCCUGCAUGAGCUGGGCACCUGGUCUGCUCCUCAGAUGGCUCUCGUUCAGGUCUCCCUGCAGGGCAGGGGCAGCCACCUCUGUCUCCUCAGAGCAACUCUUUGCUGUCAGUGUUCAGGCAAUUAUGGAUCAUCUCUCUAGAAAUGUGGGUGAGAGUAGAAGAGGGACUGAAAAAUGCAGAGGAGAAGAGUUAGUCGCUGUCUGGAACUGAAAGAUGGUGAAAUACAGGAAGUAAGACCUAAUUGCUGAAGGCAAAGAUAGGUAGUAAAAAGGUCUGUCGGUCAGAUUCAUCUCAGAGCUUAGGUUAAGUCAAACAAGAUAUGUUGCAAAUACAUUGAAAUAAAUAGACUCAUCAUAUCCUGAUUUAUCUUUCUUUUCUAUGUGUUCAAAUUGGGAUAUAACUCAAAUCUAUUUUAUCAAUAUUUCUGCUAUUCAGCAAUGCAACCUCUCAAAUACCUAGAAACAGACAGAAAAAGAUGUAAAGAUGAGAACAGACUGACAUCGACCUCUCUUCUAUUACCAAGGCUUAUUUUCUUGAAACUUUCAUCCCACCCACCAGAAUCUUGUGAGAGUUGGUUUACGUGUGGAGCAACUGAUGUACCUUCCUGUGAGCAGCAAAUGCUUCUUCCUCUGCCAGAAGCUCAGGAAUGGAAUGAGCUCUUGUGCAGUCAUGGUGUAUUCUGGUGAAUCUUCACGGAUUAAGUUUGUGAAUGGAGAUUUUCAUGUUUUCAGUCUGAAAAUCUCUCACAGGUCCUUUCCUUCCCAGUACUUGGAGCUUAAACAUUUCUUCAUCAAUGACAACACAGUUUCCACCAUGAUCCCACCAAAUCAUCUUAAAUUGGUCACUUUCAAUUGAUGGCCAGAGUUUCUGUGGAAAGCUGAGGGCUGAGGAGACACUGGCUUUGCUCUCCUCAGAAGAAAUGUGAGGGAAACAUUUGGUUUCCUCUUCAUCAGAAGUUAGUGAAUCCUUUUCUUCCUUUAUCCAUGCUAGAGCAGCAUCCUAUAUUGUUCCUCAUUCAUCCUGUCCUGGAGGAUGAGAAGAAGGAGAGUCUGAGGACUCAGCCAACUUCUUCAGAUUCAGGUGGCUCAAAUUUAAUUUCUCUUGUCUCAGUUUGACUGAAGUUUUCAUGUAGAGGCAUUUCUGCGGUAAGGCAGUUUUCACCCUGCAGGUCAGCAAGCAAAGUCUAUGAGAACUGUCAGGGGAUUCCAUUGGGAGAUUGUCAGACAUCACUGUAACAGCCACGUGUCAUCACAGUGACAUCGCUGUGUGGUACCCAGGGCCUGGUUGGCUGGCGCAGCCAGAGCAGAUGUCACUGACCAGCACUUGUGACUGCACAGAGCCACGGGUGUUUAAACGUGAGUAGAGAAGCAAAGAGAGAUGUAUUGAAAGGGGUUCAGUUGUUACCUAGACCUUGCUUCCCCUUCCCUGUGUAGUCCCUGAAUAGCUCGCUUCUGGCCUCCUUGGUGUCCCUCUGGUUCUCCAGAUGGGACUGGGGGGAAAUCAGCUUCUCAAGCAACACUAACAAAAGAAAAUAGCAAUCUCUUCCCAGUUUGUAACCACUUCUUGGAAAUGCUCCAUGGCUUCUGCAAGGCAGUAGCUGUAUGCCCAGGUGGUGCUCUACAAUGUCAGCAGUCUCCCAGAGGCUGCUCUGUAGGUCCAACUAGGAGAAGGCAGUAAGUACAUUUUGCUGAUAGUACAGACAACCCCUCUUUGGUUCCUAUGCUUUUAUUCGGUAUUUUGUAUAUUUGAUAUUCAGAAAGCAAGCUAAUGAAAUCUGUGAUGUUAUUUAAGCCUUUCAAAUUACACUCCUCUCUACAGGAGCAAGGGCUUCAUAUGUAAAGGAAAGGCUUGGUCUGGAGAUGGUGUAUGUUUGCAGGCCUUGAGUGUAUGCUAAGUCUGAGGACAUCACUAAAUUGGAGAAGCUGUUGACUCCCUUAAGGGCAGAGAGGCUUUGCAGAGCAAUCUUGACAUAUGUGAUGGCUGGGCAGUCACCAAGUGCAUGAAGUUGAACAAGAGCUAGUGCCGAAAUCUGCCCCACAGUGGGCAACCCAGGAUGUAUGCACAAACUAGGGGACAAGAGGCAAGAGAGCUGCCCCACAGAAAGGGAUCUGGGGGUUCUGGGUGAUGGCAAGUUGAAUCUGAGUCAGCAUUGUGCCAUGACAGCCCAAAGGGCCACCUGUAUCUGGAGGUGGUCAAUCAAGCCCACACUGACAGGUGAGGGAAGGGGUUGUCCUGCUGUGCUCUGUGCUGUGUGGCCUCACCUCCAGCACUGGGUGUUGUUUUGGGCACCACAGUCUAAGGACAUAAAAAUGUUCGAGAACUUCCAAAGGAUGGCUAUGAAGAUGUGAUUAUUCUUGCUCAGGUAGUCUGACUCUGUUUUGAAGAGGAAAUUUAGUUAUAAUGUGUUUGUUUUAUGAAGCUAGUUCUCAGCUAGUGUUUUCCAAACCACAGGUUGUAAAGCUAACACAAGGAAAAAUGUUCAUAUUAUAUUGUAUAUAUAUUGUAUAUAUACUGUAUGUAUAUUGUAUAACAUACAAACCUGACUAGCUGAGAUUUCAGCUUCUGUCCUCUUUUGCAGUGAUAGCAGUAGCUAAUACUCUUCUGAAUGCCUUAGAAUCUCUUAUCCCUUUUGAAUUAAAAUUCACAAUGUGUUUUUUUGCUAAUUAAUUUGGAGAUAGGGUUGGGAAAAUAUUUUCAUGUGGCUGGGGAGAGCUACUGGUGUCUGCCACUGCUAAGGCGGGAGGCUUUUUCUCUCAUUCUUUUUAGGAAUAGGCUUAAGGCAGUUCAAAAGGGAGAGUGAAGCUCUGAAUUCUCUGAUGGAGACUUGUUUUGCAGCCAGAUUGCUAUGACAGAAAAUGCUUUGCUCCAGCACUCAUGUAGCUUUGUCUGGGCUUUGUGAUCAGCAUCAUCCCAAAGAAGCAAAACUGUUUAGGAAAUUUAUAGAUAGCAAUUUGGUCUCCAGUGUAGCAAAGGCUCAUCUGUUAAUUGCUUUGAAGAUUAAAGUCAAGACCUUGAACUGGCAUCUGAAACUGACUUUAGAGAUAAGCCCUAGCCGUGAACUUCUGUCAUCUCCUUUGCAAAGCCUUUGGUAUUUAGAGGAUAAUAGAUAAGCAGGAUAUCCAGGACAGCAUCUAACUGAUGUAAAGGAUUUGUUUUAUGGGAACCUAAAUUGUUUCAGGGCUAAAACCAGUCCUCUCUAGGUCUGUUUUCCAGAGAUCUUUCCAGAGAAGAUGUAACCUAAGAAAGAGUGAAAGUAAGGCCAAGUAGACACACAAAAGUGACAGCAAGUCAAAUAUUGAUAAUAUCUGCCAUGUAAAUAAUAGGCACUUGAGGUUGCUAAUUGAAUUGAUAUGUAGUUUUAAUUUAAGAUGAAUAAAAAGAAACACUUUCCUAGAUAUGGUGUUGUGUUUUUUUGUCCUUUUUUUUUUUUGAUGGGAGAAUUCUUUUUUUGGUCUUCUGAUCCUCCAGUACCUUUCUUUCUCUUCUUCCUCACUACACAAACCCAAUUUGGAUUAAAUUGCCAUUUUUUGCAUAAUGAAGUGAAACAUCAUAUUCUGAGAUUGUUUAAACAUUUUUUCUUUACUCUUUUUUUUUUUUUCAAGGCAGUUUUCACUGAGGGAUGUUUCUCUUUUUCUGUGUUAAGAAUGCUGUAGGAAAAUGCUUAUGGCAAGUUAAAGAAUUUGUUCUGAGAUGCUUAGGAAUAAGUGAAUUCCCUAGUUUUGGUUCCGUCACUCAAUGUCAUUUUUAUCAAAAGGAUCUCUGUUAGUCAAAUAUGAUACAAGCAAAUAGAGAUGUUUUCUCAGAGAUCCUCUGCUGUGCUGGGACUAGAGUCUGAUUUAAAUACAAUUUUGAGAGCUCUCUUUUGAUGGCAUUUGUUUUUGUGGUGUUUGGGAGCAGUGCCAAAUAGGUGUUGCACGUGGCCAACUACAAGGACAAAAUCACAGACACUCCACACACUGCAGAACUUAUAGCACACAGUUAAAUGGAAAAAACUUGUGAUGUGUAACUAGUAUGGUAACAGCAGUGCUGCUGUUAAAAUUUCUUUUUCUCCAGGAGAUUAAAAAUAACAGAUUUAAUUAGGAGAGGAUAAACAUCAGAGGGAAAAGAACGUAUGCCAUUGAACAUGAAGGAUGAGGAGUGGGGAAUUUAUGAGUAAUUGGUGAAAUCUAAAAUGGGAAUGAAUUGAAGGUGCUACAUGGCAGGUAACAGGAGGCAGUCUGAACAAACCACUGUCAGUGAGAAGUCUGGAAAUAAAAAGAGCUCUUGUAUGUUGUUAUACCAAAGAACAGACCUGCUCUACUUUGGUUUCUUCUGUCUGUUUCUAUCUGAACUCAGGUUGUCCUUCUUGAAGUUAUUUUCUGUUAACACUAUUGAGGUUGUUCAGUGAUACAGUUUACCUGUUCUUAUGGGCUCAGAUAAUACAGGUUGUUCUCUCAUGCUGCCAGGCCUGGAACAUCAAGCAGUGGUGUUAGCCUUCUUGGUGGGUGACUAAUGUAUCCAGCAGCAUUUCUGAGCUCAGGAAAGCAGAGCCCAAAGAAAAACACUUCAGGCAUCUACAGGUCCUUCCAAGCUGCAGCAGAGAGAGGAGAAGUGGGAAAUAGAAAUAGGGCCUCUGAGUUCUGUUCCAGGAGAUGGGAGGUGAGUGCUCAGCUACAGUGGAGCUUGCAAAAAAUGAUGUUGGGAUAGAUGAGUGUGCCCCUUUUGCUCAGUGAGCUUUUUUCUUUCUUUUAUCCCUCCCUGCCCCCCUCAUCUCCACAGUUUAUUGUGAUAUAUAAAGUGGAUGUUGUUCUCUACCUCAUCCCAGCCCUGCAGCUGGUGCUCUAUUUUGAGAAGGAAGAUGAUGAAAAGAGGAUACUAUGAUUUGGUUUGAAUUGCAGCCACUCUUACCAGCUCAGCUGUGGCUCUCCAACACAGGCAUGGUGCUUUCCUUCUCAGUUUUUUAUUAGAAGUAAAUAUACUACUUGUAUAGGUAACGGCUAUCCUGUGAUGUGUGAGCCAAGCACAAAAGGGAUUCUGGUAUAACCUCAGGGAGCUGCAGAUAACUUAAUUUUACUGUUUGUUGUCUUUGUAGCAGUGGCUGGCUACCAAGUACUUGGGUAAAUUGUUUAUUUGAAGAGAAAUACAGGAA